UGGCUCUCGCAUCGAUGAAGAACGCAGCGAAUUGCGAUAUGUAAUGUGAAUUGCAGAAUUCAGUGAAUCAUCGAAUCUUUGAACGCAUCUUGCGCUCCUUGGUAUUCCGAGGAGCAUGCCUGUUUGAGUGUCAUGAAUAUCUCAACCCACCAGGUCUUUACAAAAUCUGUGAUGGGCUUGGACUUGGAGGUUUGCUGGCUUUGGUUAGUCUGCUCCUCUCAAAUGCAUUAGCUGGAAACUCCAUGCCAUCCGGUGUGAUAAUAUCUACGCCGCAUGACCAGAUUCAAGUGUUACCCUGUAAUACAGUGAUUGUAGCCUUGAUGUUGGAGUGUCUGCUCACAAUUGUCUGAAAAGACAACUUCUGACAUCUGACCUCAAAUCAGGUAGGACUACCCGCUGA
rnacentral:misc_RNA from 1 species